AUUGAACGCUGGCGGCAUGCUUUACACAUGCAAGCCGAACGGUAACAGGGUGCUUGCACCGCUGACGAGUGGCGAACGGGUGAGUAAUGCGUCGGAACGUGCCGAGUAGUGGGGGAUAACGCAGCGAAAGUUGUGCUAAUACCGCAUACGUACUGAGGUAGAAAGUGGGGGACCUUCGGGCCUCACGCUAUUCGAGCGGCCGACGUCUGAUUAGCUAGUAGGUGAGGUAAAGGCUCACCUAGGCGACGAUCAGUAGCGGGUCUGAGAGGAUGAUCCGCCACACUGGGACUGAGACGCGGCCCAGACUCCUACGGGAGGCAGCAGUGGGGAAUUUUGGACAUUGGGCGAAAGCCUGAUCCAGCCAUGCCGCGUGUCUGAAGAAGGCCUUCGGGUUGUAAAGGACUUUUGUCAGGGAGGAAAUCCCUAGUGCUAAUAACACUGGGGGAUGACAGUACCUGAAGAAUAAGCACCGGCUAACUACGUGCCAGCCGCCGCGGUAA
rnacentral:rRNA from 1 species